UACGUAGGGGGCAAGCGUUGUCCGGAAUUAUUGGGCGUAAAGAGCUCGUAGGCGGUUUGUCGCGUCGGCUGUGAAAUCCCGAGGCUCAACCUCGGGCCUGCAGUCGAUACGGGCAAACUAGAGUGUGGUAGGGGAGACUGGAAUUCCUGGUGUAGCGGUGAAAUGCGCAGAUAUCAGGAGGAACACCGGCGGCGAAGGCGGUUCUCUGGGCCUUACCUGACACUGAGGAGCGAAAGCGUGGGGAGCGAACAGG
rnacentral:rRNA from 1 species